rnacentral:rRNA from 1 species
CAGUCGUACCUGCGGAUAAUCAGCUUUUUGAGUGUGAUUAUGUGGUUUAUGAGGAGUUUAACCGCCUUCAUGUAUUGCAUAUUUGUGCUUUUGGGUGUACUUGUCUGUGUGGUAGGUUAACAUCAAUUUCGGUCGUCAUAAAAUGAUUGGAGGAAUGUAGCUUUGGUCUCGUAUCGAAGUGUUAUAGACUCUGGUAGAUGUGACGAUUGGGAUUGAGGAUUGGCAACGGAUACCCUUCGGGGCUACUCGUCUGAUCUCUGAAGGUUGCUCCGGUACCGAAGCGUGCUUUUACGGCAUCGAAAGUGAUUUUCAAAAGGUUAGAACGGGUUAAUUCGUUAAGGAUGUUGACGUAA